rnacentral:rRNA from 1 species
CCCUACGGGGCGCAGCAGUGGGGGAUAUUGCACAAUGGAGGGAACUCUGAUGCAGCGACGCCGCGUGAGGGAAGAAGGUUUUCGGAUUGUAAACCUCUGUCUUCGGUGACGAAACGAGACGGUAGCCGAGGAGGAAGCCACGGCUAACUACGUGCCAGCAGCCGCGGUAAUACGUAGGUGGCAAGCGUUGUCCGGAUUUACUGGGUGUAAAGGGCGUGUAGCCGGGCCGGCAAGUCAGAUGUGAAAUCCCAAGGCUCAACCUUGGAACUGCAUUUGAAACUGUUGGUCUUGAGUAUCGGAGAGGC